rnacentral:antisense_RNA from 1 species
CUCAAUGAUUACAAGAUGCCUGGAGUCAUAUGUUAGUUCAAAGAAGAUAAUACUGCAAAGCGCUUUUAUAUGCAUACGUUUACAUGCUUCAAAUGAUGCGGAAUCAGAAAGCAGCCAUUGAAACUUACUAACCCAACCUGCUAGUCUUUGAACUGAAGCUCUUUGCUGCCCUCUGUAGAUACCUAGAGAUGAAAACGGCAAAGUCAACAUUCACUUUCUCAGUUAUGGUAAUUUGGUUCUGUAAUCUUAAUAGAAAAAUAGACUAAACAGAAGGUGUUUCAAUUAAAGGGAAAUUAAGGACCUUUUUUUCCUAUAA